CAGGGACGAGGCAUCAUCUCUCGCGUCCACUAAGGGACAUGUCAACGAUGGCCUAUAUCUGCCUUCUGGUCGGUCUUCUUUGCGCCGCAACAGUGACGUUUGGAGCCCAAGUUCCGACGACUGGCUGCAUUAACGUUACGGUCAGCGAUGUACUGGGUAUUGGCGAGUGUCUCGGUACUUCCAACUUCUGCGGCAGUACUAACG
rnacentral:lncRNA from 1 species